AAGCCCUGUGUGUGGGCCCUGAUCCCCUAUGGGCGCCAGCGGGGAAGGAUGGCGGUGGAUUGGGUAGUCUGGGCCUGGUCCGCGGCCUAGGCCGCGGGGACGCUCUGGCGGGACUCCGCCUCGUGGCGGCCCUAGGAAAGGGGUGAGCAUGUAGCGGGGGCCCUCGGUAGCAGUAAUAUGGGAGACGCGGUCCCAUGGAGCCUCUAUAUGGGCCGGGGGAAGGGGUGGCCAGCCCUGUCCCGUGGCGCUUCAGGCUUGAGGCCCAUCGUUCCGCGGCGGUGUGGGAGUUUGGGUGGUGCCUGGAUGUGAGCGCUGCGGAGAAGCUGAGCCUGGGGCCUGCACUCGGAUUUCAUGAGUUCAAGAUGCACCAACUACUUACACCAUUUUCCUCUUACAGCUUUGAAACAGGUAAGUGUUGUGUCUAAAAUUAAGUUUAAAUUGAGAAAUGGUUAGGUACACUUACAGCAACUUAGCCUGGAGUACUCUUAUAUGUCAGGGAACUACAGGAGUGGUGUUUGUAAUACAGUAAUUGCCUGUGGUAUUUCUUCAGGCAGUCCUUGCUCUCCUACUGGGAAAAAUCACCUAGUUCUUUAUACUGGAAAGUGGCUGUUAGGCCGCUGUUUCUGAAGCAGUAAUUAUUCUGUACCCAAACUACAGUAGGACCUAGGUGCCUUUUUUCUUCAUUACUACUAUUUACAGCAAUAAGUAGCUUGCUGUUUAAGGAAAACUGCCUGAUGCGUGUUUCAGAAACGUGUGACUAUCAGAAUUAAUAUUAACUAAAUCAGAGCCUAUGAUGGUUUCAAUACAAGAGUAGUGGACAGAAAUGAUUUCUGAAAACUCUGUGCUGAGGCUUUUUUCUCUGCUUGAUGUCACUGCUAGAGAUAGUCUCCCUUAGUUCUACAGGUGUCUGAAACUUCUGUCUUUUUCAGAUCUGCUGUGGAAUAAAGAAACUUGAUGCUACUACAAAAGGUAAGAAAAAAAAAUUAAAAAUUCAGCCUGAAAUUGUGAUUGCUUAUCUAGGCAGUAUCUUUUGUUCUAAUAACAUUAAUAGGCAGACUUUUCUCAGUUUUCCCUCCAGUGCCACAAUGAUGACACUUAUUUGCUACUCUUGACCAAGAGAAUGAUGAGCACUCUUACCACCAUAACUUUUCCUCUGAGGCACAGCAACUUAACGUUCCCCUUGAUGUUUUGUCUUAAGAAUGUUCUAUUGAUAAGCUUUUUUUUUUCUUCCAGUAUUUGAGUCAUAUACUUAGAAGACUUGCAGAAGAAACAUCAUCUGGUACUGGGAAAUGAAGCUAUAAACUGUGCAAGGCUGCCCUUGAUGGAGGAUACCUGUGCCUCCAGUGUGAGAAUAUUUCACCUGUUACUAAUGCUUGUGAAGACAAGGCCUUUCUAAUUGAAGGCUUCCAGAGUUUGUCAUUGCGAUGUAAGUACUUGUUUUAACUUUGUGAAUAUUAGCAUAAAAAAAAACCUCUAGAACAAAGUAUGCAAUUGCAUAUAAGCUUGGUGGGGGUGAUGUGUGCAGGACAAGGGGCCAGUGUUGGCUGCUGUUUCCAUCUCGGCCAAAACAGGAGGAUGCUUAAGGGGAGAGCCGCUGGGCAAGGUGCAGCCUUGACAGGUUUGUUUGUAGCUGAACUCUCACUGCCAGUGAGCUUGAAGUUGCUCACAUGGCACUGUUGGUGCAUUUGCCUUCCACAUUGCAGUGUUAGCUUUAAAACAGCAGCAGAUGGCUGUCUAGUAAUUUGUGAGCUGCCUGUGUGAUGAGAUGCAAGUACCUUGACUUCAGUCAUGGAGGUCUGCAAUUAGCUCUAUCUGACUUCAGGCAUCUGGUUAGAUUUGAUUCUCAUGUGCUUGCUUGUUCUUGGUCCUAAUGCUUUGCUUUGUUCCAGGGCUGCUGUGAUAAAGCUGUGAAGUAGUGCUGUUGUAGUCUACCAGCAAAAGUAAGUUGCCAGCAAAUGCAUGUGACUGGUCAGAACUGUGUGAUGAGUGAUAGGGAAGUUACUACUAAAUGCUGGCCUCUAAUAGCAGUGUAGCUGAAGCAUUUAGAAGGUUCCUUGAGGAUUUGCCUCUACCAGUAGAUCACAGAUUACCGGCAGCCUGCAGGUUCACUUGCCCAAGGUGCUAGGGACUGAAUCUCAUACUUUGAAUAGAGACAGUACUAAGAUAGUUAUAAUUCCAGCAGUAACAGACAUAGUUUCUGGAAGUCUUAAGGAGGCUCUGGAGUAACAUAAAUAUUGGACUGACAUUUCAUUUUCCUAAUGGUUUAUCCUAGAUUUGAGAAUGGGAAAACUGCUGGAUGCUUUAUGACAGAUGAUUCAUACUUGGUAAGUGGUUUCUCAGUUGCC